rnacentral:rRNA from 1 species
UACGUAGGGACCAAGCGUUGUUCGGAUUUACUGGGCGUAAAGGGCGCGUAGGCGGCGUGACAAGUCACUUGUGAAAUCUCCGGGCUUAACUCGGAACGGUCAAGUGAUACUGUUGUGCUAGAGUACAGAAAGGGCAAUCGGAAUUCUUGGUGUAGCGGUGAAAUGCGUAGAUAUCAAGAGGAACACCUGAGGCGAAGGCGGGUUGCUAGGCUGAUACUGACGCUGAGGCGCGAAAGCUAGGGUAGCAAACGGG